rnacentral:rRNA from 1 species
UACGGGGGGGAGCAAGCGUUGUUCGGAUUUACUGGGCGUAAAGGGCGCGUAGGCGGCCAGCGCAAGUCAGUUGUGAAAUCUCCGGGCUUAACUCGGAACGGUCAAGUGAUACUGUCGUGCUAGAGUACAGAAGGGGCAACUGGAAUUCUCGGUGUAGCGGUGAAAUGCGUAGAUAUCGAGAGGAACACCUGCGGCGAAGGCGGGUUGCUGGGCUGAUACUGACGCUGAGGCGCGAAAGCUAGGGGAGCGAACGGG